rnacentral:rRNA from 1 species
AUUGAACGCUGGCGGCAGGCCUAACACAUGCAAGUCGAGCGGAUGAAGGGAGCUUGCUCCUGGAUUCAGCGGCGGACGGGUGAGUAAUGCCUAGGAAUCUGCCUGGUAGUGGGGGAUAACGUCCGGAAACGGGCGCUAAUACCGCAUACGUCCUGAGGGAGAAAGUGGGGGAUCUUCGGACCUCACGCUACCAGAUGAGCCUAGGUCGGAUUAGCUAGUUGGUGGGGUAAAGGCCUACCAAGGCAACGAUCCGUAACUGGUCUGAGAGGAUGAUCAGUCACACUGGAACUGAGACACGGUCCAGACUCCUACGGGAGGCAGCAGUGGGGAAUAUUGGACAAUGGGCGAAAGCCUGAUCCAGCCAUGCCGCGUGUGUGAAGAAGGUCUUCGGAUUGUAAAGCACUUUUAGUUGGGAGGAAGGGCAGUAAGUUAAUACCUUGCUGUUUUGACGUUACCAACAGAAUAAGCACCGGCUAACUUCGUG